rnacentral:rRNA from 1 species
GACGAACGCUGGCGGCGUGCUUAACACAUGCAAGUCGAACGGAAAGACCCUGCUUUUGUGGGGUGCUCGAGUGGCGAACGGAUGAGUAACACGUGAGUAACCUGCCCUUGACUUUGGGAUAACUACAGGAAACAGGGGCUAAUACCGGAUAGGAGCUCCUGCUGCAUGGUGGGGGUUGGAAAGUGUCGGCGGUUGGGGGUGGACUCGCGGCUUAUCAGCUUGUUAGUGGGGGAGUGGCUUACCAAGGCUUGGGCGGGUAGGCGGCCUGAGAGGGUGACCGGCGACCAUGCUCCUGAGGUACGCCCCAGUCUCCUACGGGACGCAGUAGGCGCGAGUCUUGCGCAGCGGGCCGGCGUGUGUUGCGGCAGCCCUGCGGUCGUGAUGACGGCUUUCCGGUUAUAAACCGCUUUCGCCUGUGACGAAGCGUCAGUGACGGUAACGGGUAAAGAAGCACCGGCUAACUACGUG